rnacentral:rRNA from 1 species
CCUACGUGAGGCAGCAGUAGGGAAUCUUCCACAAUGGGCGAAAGCCUGAUGGAGCAACGCCGCGUGGGUGAAGAAGGUCUUCGGAUCGUAAAACCCUGUUGUUAGAGAAGAAAGUGCGUGAGAGUAACUGUUCACGUUUCGACGGUAUCUAACCAGAAAGCCACGGCUAACUACGUGCCAGCAGCCGCGGUAAUACGUAGGUGGCAAGCGUUAUCCGGAUUUAUUGGGCGUAAAGGGAACGCAGGCGGUCUUUUAAGUCUGAUGUGAAAGCCUUCGGCUUAACCGGAGUAGUGCAUUGGAAACUGGGGGACUUGAGUGCAGAAGAGGGAAGUGGAACUCCAUGUGUAGCGGGGAAAUGCGUAGAUAUAUGGAAGAAAACCAGUGGCGAAAGCGGCUCUCUGGUCUGUAACUGACGCUGAGGUUCGAAAGCGUGGGUAGCAAACAGGAUUAGAUACCCUUGUAGUC